rnacentral:rRNA from 1 species
CCCUUAGAUGUUCUGGGCCGCACGCGCGCUACACUGAUGAAGGCAACGAGUUUAUCAACCUGCACCGGAAGGUGUGGGUAAUCUUUUGAAACUUCAUCGUGCUGGGGAUAGAUCUUUGCAAUUUUCGAUCUUAAACGAGGAAUUCCUAGUAAGCGCAAGUCAUCAGCUUGCGUUGAUUACGUCCCUGCCCUUUGUACACACCGCCCGUCGCUACUACCGAUUGAAUGGUUUAGUGAGAUCCUCGGAUUGGCCAUCUCGGCGUGACUUCGGUUGUGCACGUGGUGGCCGAGAAGACGAUCAAACUUGAUCAUUUAGAGGAAGUAAAAGUCGUANCA